rnacentral:tRNA from 1 species
GGUAGAAUCAAUGAUCUAUCCUUAAGGAUAAGGUCGUGGGUUCGAAUCCCACCCCGCCCA